GUGGGGAAUAUUGGACAAUGGGCGAAAGCCUGAUCCAGCCAUGCCGCGUGUGUGAAGAAGGUCUUCGGAUUGUAAAGCACUUUAAGUUGGGAGGAAGGGCAGUAAGUUAAUACCUUGCUGUUUUGACGUUACCAACAGAAUAAGCACCGGCUAACUUCGUGCCAGCAGCCGCGGUAAUACGAAGGGUGCAAGCGUUAAUCGGAAUUACUGGGCGUAAAGCGCGCGUAGGUGGUUCAACAAGUUGAAGGUGAAAUCCCCGGGCUCAACCUGGGAACUGCCUCCAAAACUACUGAGCUAGAGUACGGUAGAGGGUAGUGGAAUUUCCUGUGUAGCGGUGAAAUGCGUAGAUAUAGGAAGGAACACCAGUGGCGAAGGCGACUACCUGGACUGAUACUGACACUGAGGUGCGAAAGCGUGGGGAGCAAACAGGAUUAGAAACCCCAGUAGUCC
rnacentral:rRNA from 1 species